rnacentral:rRNA from 1 species
CCUACGGGAGGCANCAGUGGGGAAUUUUGGACAAGGGGGGCAACCCUAUCCAGCCAUGCCGCGUGAGGAAGAAGGCCUUCGGGUUGUAAAGCUCUUUCGGCCGGNAAGAAAUNGCUCUCCUAAUA